rnacentral:rRNA from 1 species
UGAGUAGGCGGGAAGUCAAGUCAGAUGUGAAAUGCCGCGGCUUAACUGCGGAACUGCAUUUGAAACUGAUUUUCUUGAGAGUCGGAGAGGCAAUCGGAAUUCCUAGUGUAGCGGUGAAAUGCGUAGAUAUUAGGAGGAACACCAGUGGCGAAGGCGGAUUGCUGGACGACAACUGACGCUGAGACACGAAAGCGUGGGAGCAAACA